AACGAACGCUGGCGGCAGGCCUAACACAUGCAAGUCGAACGCCGUAGCAAUACGGAGUGGCAGACGGGUGAGUAACACGUGGGAACAUACCCUUCGGUUCGGAAUAACUCAGGGAAACUUGAGCUAAUACCGGAUACGUCCGCGAGGAGAAAGAUUCAUCGCCGGAGGAUUGGCCCGCGUCUGAUUAGCUUGUUGGUGAGGUAACGGCUCACCAAGGCGACGAUCAGUAGCNGGUCUGAGAGGAUGAUCAGCCACAUUGGGACUGAGACACGGCCCAAACUCCUACGGGAGGCAGCAGUGGGGAAUAUUGGACAAUGGGCGCAAGCCUGAUCCAGCCAU
rnacentral:rRNA from 1 species